GUGCUUGCUUCAGCAGCACAUAUUCUAAAAUUGGAACGAUACAGAGAAGAUUAGCAUGGCCCCUGUGCAAGGAUGACACACAAAUUUGUGAAGCAAUCCAUAUUUAA
ensembl:snRNA Gm23445 predicted gene, 23445